UGCAUAUCAAACUUUCUUUCACAUAAACUCCUCGAAACAUCAGGAUGAAAUGGUUAUCAGGAUUCUGAAGGACUAAGGUCUUCAUGUGUAGUGCUAACAGUUAAAAAGAAGGAAAAGCAACCAAAUUGCCCCUAGUCUGCUCAAGAGCCCGUCACUGCUUCCUAAGUGGUCACGCUACAAAAUCAAAGAAGUAACAAGGUAUGGUUGGUUACCCUUCCAAAAAUAACUGCAAGUAUUAAGUGCUGUCUUUAUGGAGAAGCCAGACCUCCUGCAGUAAGAGGGAAAAUUGAAUUGACUUGCAAGAGGCCAGAAUGCCACCCACAGAGGUGCUUGAUUGCCAGAAAAUGCUGAGUUCCUGCUGCUUGGAAUCACUGCUGUCCGAUAUCCGGCAUUGUACUGAAAGGCCGCCCAGGGAGGUGGUGGAGUCACCAUUCCUCGAAGUGUUAAGAACCAUGGAGAUGUAGCACUGAGGGACAUGGUCAGUGGGAGCGGUGGAGGUAAAUUUAAGGGCAUGCAUCUCUGGCUGGACUUUUCUGGAAGGACUUUUCUGCAGCCUUUUGCAUUCUCUAUGUUCAGAGGAUAGAAGCUGUAACCAUUCAGUUCUGCAAUCAGGCUUGGCUCCAGUUUCAGAGAGGAGACAGACAGCUGGUGGAGUUGCAGAUUUCACAAGCAGGAGGAAUCAAAAUGUGGGAGACCAGGAGGUCAGGACAGCAUGCUUGAUUGCCUACAUGAAGAGUAACAAGCUUCUCCUCUGGUCCCAUGUGAGCCACCUGGAAACCAUUGAGGAGCACAAGAGCCCCAGUAUCAUCUCAGUGGAUGUUUCAGAGAAACUGUUUGAAUGUCUGUGCUAGAAAGGUACAUGAAUUUAUCCUGCAAUGAAUACAGAAGCAUAGGAGAUGGAGGACAGGACCUUGACCUGAACAGAUCUGACUCGUACGUGUCAAAGACUGCAUCGCUGAAAGCAUAAUACUGCUCCUGCACUAAGAGUGUGUCUCUUCCAAGGCUUUCAAAACCAUGGCACCAGGUGUGAUUUAAGACCACUUCCAUUAAGAAGCAUGGAACUGGAUUUUUCUUCUUGUAU
ensembl:lncRNA